CACCGUGCUCCUGCUGGGAAGGGGAGGCGAGGCGAGUGGGCUUGGGUCACUGGGAGCUGGAUUUGGUCGCGGCUCCGGUGAGGCAAGCGGGGGCAACCUCGCUACCCUGCUCGCUCGCUGCCCUCUCGGGCCUGAAAGUCAUGGGCCGGUAGUUCGUCCCCACAACUUGGGCUAGUGAGACCUUAGUGAACCUGAGUCGGGGCGGGGGGAGGCGCCACCUGCAAUUUUAGAAUCAAAGUCACGCACCCGCAACAGAUACCUGGGUGACGCUGUGCUUUGCCUGGUCUGAAUCUGAGUCCCGGGGCAUAACUCACACGCCAUCAGAUGGGCAUCGUGCAGCACUGUGGCUCAGUGUCACGUUAGUGUGAGGUGCGGGCUACCUCCGUGGGAAGAAGUUUCAGAGCAUUAACCCCGAGGGUGGGGCUGUUCUGGGUUUAAAUGGAAGAGAAACUGCCUUUGGAAUUUCAUCUGACUUGAGGCGAGGAGGGAAGCAAUUCACUUUUAUGUAUAUUUUGGGCAAAUAAUAUGAGUUUAUAUCCUGUGCAAAAUUGCAAAAGUAGGAAGUAAAUGUAUAGAUAGUUGCUUUUUUAAAGAAGUCACUUUAUUUGUAAAGUUCACUGGUGAUUACUGUAUUUAUCUGUUGCACCUGUCAGGUGCAUCGUGUUUAAACCUCAACAGAUGGAGAGUUAUUAAGUCAGCUACCCACUAAUUCUUCAAUAGUGUAAUUCUUGAAAUGAAAAUCUGCCAAGGCUAAGAUUUGUGUUACAUGCAAUUUGUGAUCACUUACCUCUUGAAUUCACUGUGUUUUGAAACUAAAUCACAGAAUGCAGAUAAAAUACAAGAUGUCUUUACAGGAGAAUCUAAUGUGUGCUUGGAUCACUUUUACAGCAACACUGAAAACUUCACCUCAGAUCAGCUCUGGAUUUGACUAUGCCAAGCUUUCAAUUUCUUGGAGAAAACAAAUACAAGCAAUGUCAUGGGCUAAUGCCAUAAGGCACGGACAACCUGGCUGUCCCUUCCUGACCCCAGAAAAACAGUAUGAGAAUUCCAGCUGCUCUUGCUGAUCAGAGGGUGCUGAAAUGCCGUGACAGCACAGGAUGGAGAAACGGAAAAUACCAAGUCUGAAGAAAAAUUAGUAGGAAGAAGGAAAAGAGAAAAAAAAAGUGGAAAAAUGAGUUAUUCAACUCUCUUGUAACAUUUAUAAAUCUUCCUCUACCUGCUAUCUCUUCCUUUAUAAGCAUUAUUAGGUGACGUGCAAGAAGUUAUUAUUUUAUGACUGCUGAGUAAGGAAACUCAAACUGUAUUUUGAAUGUUGUUUACCACCUUACAAGAACUUCAGUAUUCCUUGAAUACUUAAUAUUUACAAAACCAAGUAGGCAAAGACAGGAAGGCUAAGAAAUCAAGGUUUCUAAACUUAAGAAAUGCAAAGAAAUGCACUAACUGCAUAAUCAAAUUAUUAUUCAUUUGUACACAGACUGGGCAGUGUUCUCUAGAUAGACAGUUAUUCAGUAUUUUGGCUAUUAUACCCCACUUCUGGUCAAUGUGUAGGUACAAAAAGGCAUUUAAAAAGGUUUAAAAAUGCCUUUUUAUGCCUUAUUAAUUACGUUGACCCUAUACAGAAGAAAUGCCACUCUAAAAGCAGAAUUGUUCAUCUUCUCAUGACUUUUUAUGCUGCUUGUAAAUGUAGCACUUGGGUAUUUCACAAUUCUCCUGUGAUAGAAAGAUAUGGUAUUCUCUCCACUUCGUGAAGAGAAGCAUACAGCCAGAAAUUAAAGAUGGAAGUUUAUAUUAAUUCAGAUACCCCAUCUGAAAUGUCUACAACUUGGUUUCAAAGUAUCUAAUAAAUACCUGUGACAACCUUAAAGCACUCCCUCCAUCCCAAUUAAAACAAAGAAUGACGUUAUGCCUUAAACACCUAGUUUUUGAUACUUUGGGUGGAAAAGAUAGAUGGCUGUGGAGGCAGACACCUUGUCUUUUCGUUCCCAAGGUUUUGUGCAAUUCACAGUGUUGCUGUGAAGGCCUCAUGGCCUAACUGGAGUGAUAGACAAGACCCAUCUGUCAGACAACCAAUUACCAGAAGAAACCACGAACCAAUAUCUACCUCUGAUGGGCAAAACAACUCUAUUCUGCUCAGUACUGUGAACUUUCCCCUAGUCUGAAGACCCCAAACCCAUUUCCAGAAGAGUCUUCCUAAUUAGCAAGAAGAGCAAACAGAGGGAGGAGAUGAACUGCCCUCCUCUAUCUCACAUGUAAAUGAACUGGAUUAUAAAACGACCUCACGCGUGACAUGAAGUCGUGGCAUGUACCAAAAUCUUCUACGCGUCUUCCCCCUUCCAGAGGACGUUGUGAGACAGAUGGACCUCUGGAAUGGUGAUAUCUUACUCCCUCUCUCUCUCUCUCUGAUAUCUUAGUUUUCCUUCUCUCUCUCUCUUUUCCUUCUUCUUGAACAUACAAAGGUAAUGUCAUUGUAAGUUCUGCUGCUAAAGUCUUGUGAAGUUUUGUGAUAUGAUAAUAGACUUUUGCCAAGUCACUAAUCACCAUAAUUUGUAUUUCACCAAGUGCUUUUAGUAAAUUCAUAAUUGAAUUCAA